UACAGAGGUCUCAAGCGUUGUUCGGAUUCAUCGGGCGUAAAGGGUGCGUAGGCGGCGCGGUAAGUCGGGUGUGAAAUCUCGGAGCUUAACUCCGAAACUGCAUUCGAUACUGCCGUGCUUGAGGACUGGAGAGGAGACUGGAAUUUACGGUGUAGCGGUGAAAUGCGUAGAUAUCGUAAGGAAGACCAGUGGCGAAGGCGGGUCUCUGGACAGUUCCUGACGCUGAGGCACGAAGGCCAGGGGGGCAAACGGG
rnacentral:rRNA from 1 species